GAUGGGGGGGGGGGAAAUAUCCGCAUCUAAAAUAUAUCGUGGGGAAAUGUCCGAGGGAAAAUGUCCGCGAUUCCUAUAUAUAGAUAGAAUUUUUCAAUAGAAAGUAGUAACCACCCUCAAAGUUGAAAAUCGAAGCAAUAUUACUGAUUCUAAAGAUGGCGUCAUGCAGACACACAAAAAAACACAUCAAUGUAACUAAUGUAAGUACAAAAAGUUAGUUGAAGUAUAAGUAAAGUAUAUAAGAUAUAGAUAGAAGUUAAUCUAAGGCCGUGGGUAAAGUUCAUAAAUUAAUGUCCAAACUAUUUUCAGACGUCUAAUGGAAAAUUCAUAGAAGAUAAGCGUAAAACACAGUUUAUUUAAGGGGAAUAUUACAAUUAAUUAUCGCACGCUUAAAAACAUUAGUUGAAUUUAAGUAAUUAAUUAUUCGACUUAACUACUACUAUAUUUGAGUAAUAUAGAUACCUCUAUACUACCUAACUAUACUUUUAACAUUAAGACGUAUUUAUAAUAUUACAUUAAUUUUCGUUACUAUAUUGUUGCUUAAUUUUAAAACGUUUUAAAGUAGGUAGGUUUAACAGCCAUCAGGCCUCAUAAAAUUAAUAGGCAAUAGGUAUAACAAUGCAUUAAACCAAUGAUUUAUUCUGAUAUUGAUUGAAAAAUUAAUAACACGGUGAUCAUAAUAGAAACUAGUAAUAUAAAAUAUUUCCGUGCACAGAGAUAUUUUUAUAUUUUUAUUUUAUGUCAUUUUUUUAGUAUAAAAGGAAUGUUCAACAAUAUUAUGUGACCCUAUCUUUGGAUUGGAGCGUAGAAGAGAAGACCGCCUAUAAUCACUGAAAAAUUGUAUAAUGUAAUAAAUUAUUGCCUUGCACUGCAGCACAGUAACUGUGUCUAUCCUAUAGUUAAUCGUAUUCCGAUAUUAGAGUGUAAUGUUUAUGGUCUACAAGUAUAUGAGGUAGGUAUAAUAAACAUUUUACACCGUUAAAACUGUUUAUACCAUUUUAAAUAAAUAUGAUAUUUUUCAGGUUAACCAUAUGGACAUAUGGUAUACUUCCAAUUGCACAGAUGGCCGUUUUUGAAAAGCAAUUUAUCAUUUUAAAACAAUUGUCUUAUGAUCAUACUUGUUAAAUAUGAAAACGAUUCACUAUAAAAGAACGCACAAUUAAAUUGUACAAUUUGUACCUAGA